rfam:Canis lupus familiaris chromosome 18, whole genome shotgun sequence.
ACGGUGAAGCCGGGAAAACAGCGGCUAGUUCGGGAGGGAGGAAAACUCCUAGGGCCUGCACGUACCCCGACCGGGGAAUCCUGGAGCCCAGUUUGGUGGGUGAGCGGUAGGGAGGAUUGGGGG